AUUGAACGCUGGCGGCAUGCUUUACACAUGCAAGUCGAACGGUAACAGGCCGCAGGGUGCAGACGAGUGGCGAACGGGUGAGUAGUGCAUCGGAACGUGCCCAGUCGUGGGGGAUAACUCAGCGAAAGCUGUGCUAAUACCGCCUACGACCUAUGGCGGAAGGCGGGGGCCCGGAAGGCCUCGGGCGAUUGGAGCGGGCGAUGUCAUAUUAGGUAGUUAGUGGGGUAAAGGCCUACAAAGCCGACGAUCGGUAGCGGGUCUGAGAGGACGACCAGUGAGACUGGGACUGAGACACGGCCCAGGCUCCUACGGGAGGCAGCAGUGGGGAAUUUUGGACAAUGGGCGCAAGCCUGAGCCAGAAAUGCCGCGUGCAGGAAGAAGGCCUUCGGGUUGUAAACUGCUUUUGUACGGAACGAAACGGUCUGGGUUAAUACCCUGGGCUAAUGACGGUACCGUAAGAAUAAGCACCGGCUAACUACGUGCCAGCCGCCGCGGUAAUAC
rnacentral:rRNA from 1 species